ensembl:antisense
GUCUCUCCGCUAAUAGGAUGCUCUGUGGAGGAGCCCUUGGGAGGGUCUCACUGUGCAGCCCUGACUGACCUGGAAAUUGCUGUGUAGUCUAGACGGGGCUUGGACUCACAGAGAUCCACCUGCCUCAGAUAGGCUCCAUCGCUCUCCGUCUUUUCCAUCCUACGGUAGGAGUGUGCUUUGAGGAGUGACGACAUCACAGGCUCCGGCUGACUCGCACUGUGAGGUAAGGUCUAUACCACAGGGAUAAUGAAGGUAGAAACAGUGCGAACUGAGAGCUGAGGUAUUCAAGGGCUGAGCCCUGGCUCGCCCACCCUGCAGGCCUCUCUACUAGGCAGAGAGCUAUGUUGCUGUCUUGUUUAAGCAGUAUAACUGGGAGACUCCACUUUCCUCGGUUAAACCCACUCCUUGCUGGUGAACACUCAUUCCUUUACAUCACAUGACUCUUCACUGGCCUUCGCCAGUGAGUCUUAGGUCAUUUCCUCUUAACUGUCCGAGUCCAAGUUCUUGUUCCUCAGAUCACAAGCAGAGCUUGUUGAGAAGCUAUCUUCAUGCCUGCAGCAACGGGUGAAGAAUGUCCCAGCUACAGCUACUUCAACCAGUUCCCAAAAUAGUUGCCUGAAGCCCAGUAGGGACAGUAUGACUCAGUUCCACUCUGCAGGACAGUGCUCAUGCCAAACCUGCCUGUUUCUGUAGAGGCAACUUCGUUGCUGGGAGAAGGGCAUCAGGGACACAUGUGCAAGAACCCAUGGAAGUUUUCAGAAGACACAGCUAGUCUGUGUGUCUAUCAGUCCGGCUUGGCAAUAUGUUCCAGACUCAUUCCUCUGUGACAAGCAACCCCAUUUGUUCCUUAGGACAGCCUCCUUCUAGACUAUGGUAUGCCCAAAAAAUCAGCUCAUAAAUAUAUCUUUGUCUGGAAUAAAAAGUCGAACUGUU